CCAUCACAGGGCACAACCACACAGGCCUCUUGUUUAUUGCUCUGCAGUCCGUCCAACGCAGCGACGCUUUGUUUCCAAUUUCCCGUCGGCGUCUUCUCGGUUCUCGUCCGCACGCGACAACGGCACCGUGGUAACUGGCAACUCCGCGGCUCCUGCAGCCUUGGCCAUGGGUCUGAGGCUCUGAGCCUCUGAGAUCAGGAACUAGUGUUUUGACGUCAGAUACAAGUGGACAGGAAGAGCCUUGUUAGCUUCUUCAAUUCAUUUUUGUAGCAAAAGCAAAAUAUCAGGUAAGGGAUUAAUUAUUUUGAUAACUCAUUAUACUGGUUGUUGCAUAUUCAGAUUUUCUGCACACUCUCUCCACUCUCCUCUUUUGAUCCCAAGAAUUCUUUUGAUGCUUACAAAUUUGAGAGUUUGAUGGAGUUGGCUUAGUCAUACCUAGAAGAUUUUGAUUCAACACAACUAAAAGAUCUUGCUUGUGAGCUUCCUAUUUACAUCGAUAAUGUGAGACUGUUGAAAGAUUUGCCAAGUUGAAUAAUAUUUCUGAGCUUGGUAGGAUGAUGGUGCAAACAAAUAAACAUCUUUCUUUUCCUUUGGUAUAUCACCUACUGAAGCUUGUACUUGUUCUUCCUAUCGCUACUGCGUAAGUGGAGAGGUGCUUUUCGGCAAUGAAAAUUGUGAAAGACGUACUGCGCGAUCGAAUCGGUGAUGAAUUUAUGAAUGAUUGCAUCGUAUGCUUCGUGCAACAAGGAUUUCUGGCUACCAUUCCAAAUGAUGAUAUUAUUGUGCGCUUUCACAAGAUGGAUGGCCAUAAUCAUAGAGAGAAAUUGAAAUUGCAAAGGGAAUACUACUGUAAAACAAUAUACUAUAUAUCAUCGUUUAGUUUUUAUUA